rnacentral:rRNA from 1 species
AGGUUAAGCUGAAGAGGCGGAGCCGCAGCGAAAGCGAGUCUGAAUAGGGCGUUUAGUACGUGGUCGUAGACCCGAAACCAGGUGAUCUACCCAUGUCCAGGGUGAAGUUCAGGUAACACUGAAUGGAGGCCCGAACCCACGCACGUUGAAAAGUGCGGGGAUGAGGUGUGGGUAGCGGAGAAAUUCCAAUCGAACCUGGAGAUAGCUGGUUCUCCCCGAAAUAGCUUUAGGGCUAGCCUUAAGUGUAAGAGUCUUGGAGGUAGAGCACUGAUUGAACUAGGGGUCCUCAUCGGAUUACCGAAUUCAGUCAAACUCCGAAUGCCAAUGACUUAUCCUUAGGAGUCAGACUGCGAGUGAUAAGAUCCGUAGUCAAGAGGGAAACAGCCCAGAUCGCCAGCUAAGGUCCCAAAGUGUGUAUUAAGUGGAAAAGGAUGUGGAGUUGCUUAGACAACUAGGAUGUUGGCUUAGAAGCAGCCACCAUUUAAAGAGUGCGUAAUAGCUCACUAGUCGAGUGACUCUGCGCCGAAAAUGUACCGGGGCUAAAUACACCACCGAAGCUGCGAAUUGAUACCAAUGGUAUCAGUGGUAGGGGAGCGUUCUAAGUGCAGUGAAGUCAGACCGGAAGGACUGGUGGAGCGCUUAGAAGUGAGAAUGCCGGUAUGAGUAGCGAAAGACGGGUGAGAAUCCCGUCCACCGAAUGCCUAAGGUUUCCUGAGGAAGGCUCGUCCGCUCAGGGUUAGUCAGGACCUAAGCCGAGGCCGACAGGCGUAGGCGAUGGACAACAGGUUGAUAUUCCUGUACCACCUCUUUAUCGUUUGAGCAAUGGAGGGACGCAGAAGGAUAGAAGAAGCGUGCGAUUGGUUGUGCACGUCCAAGCAGUUAGGCUGAUAAGUAGGCAAAUCCGCUUAUCGUGAAGGCUGAGCUGUGAUGGGGAAGCUCCUUAUGGAGCGAAGUCUUUGAUUCCCCGCUGCCAAGAAAAGCUUCUAGCGAGAUAAAAGGUGCCUGUACCGCAAACCGACACAGGUAGGCGAGGAGAGAAUCCUAAGGUGUGCGAGAGAACUCUGGUUAAGGAACUCGGCAAAAUGACCCCGUAACUUCGGGAGAAGGGGUGCUUUCUUAACGGAAAGCCGCAGUGAAUAGGCCCAAGCGACUGUUUAGCAAAAACACAGCUCUCUGCGAAGCCGUAAGGCGAAGUAUAGGGGGUGACACCUGCCCGGUGCUGGAAGGUUAAGGAGAGGGGUUAGCGUAAGCGAAGCUCUGAACUGAAGCCCCAGUAAACGGCGGCCGUAACUAUAACGGUCCUAAGGUAGCGAAAUUCCUUGUCGGGUAAGUUCCGACCCGCACGAAAGGUGUAACGAUUUGGGCACUGUCUCAACCAGAGACUCGGUGAAAUUAUAGUACCUGUGAAGAUGCAGGUUACCCGCGACAGGACGGAAAGACCCCGUGGAGCUUUACUGUAGCCUGAUAUUGAAUUUUGGUACAGUUUGUACAGGAUAGGCGGGAGCCAUUGAAACCGGAGCGCUAGCUUCGGUGGAGGCGCUGGUGGGAUACCGCCCUGACUGUAUUGAAAUUCUAACCUACGGGUCUUAUCGACCCGGGAGACAGUGUCAGGUGGGCAGUUUGACUGGGGCGGUCGCCUCCUAAAGUGUAACGGAGGCGCCCAAAGGUUCCCUCAGAAUGGUUGGAAAUCAUUCGUAGAGUGCAAAGGCAUAAGGGAGCUUGACUGCGAGACCUACAAGUCGAGCAGGGACGAAAGUCGGGCUUAGUGAUCCGGUGGUUCCGCAUGGAAGGGCCAUCGCUCAACGGAUAAAAGCUACCCCGGGGAUAACAGGCUUAUCUCCCCCAAGAGUCCACAUCGACGGGGAGGUUUGGCACCUCGAUGUCGGCUCAUCGCAUCCUGGGGCUGUAGUCGGUCCCAAGGGUUGGGCUGUUCGCCCAUUAAAGCGGUACGCGAGCUGGGUUCAGAACGUCGUGAGACAGUUCGGUCCCUAUCCGUCGUGGGCGUAGGAAAUUUGAGAGGAGCUGUCCUUAGUACGAGAGGACCGGGAUGGACGCACCGCUGGUGUACCAGUUGUUCUGCCAAGGGCAUAGCUGGGUAGCUAUGUGCGGAAGGGAUAAGUGCUGAAAGCAUCUAAGCAUGAAGCCCCCCUCAAGAUGAGAUUUCCCAUAGCGUAAGCUAGUAAGAUCCCUGAAAGAUGAGAUUUCCCAUAGCGUAAGCUAGUAAGAUCCCUGAAAGAUGAUCAGGUUGAUAGGUUCGAGGUGGAAGCAUGGUGACAUGUGGAGCUGACGAAUACUAAUAGAUCGAGGACUUAACCAUA